rnacentral:rRNA from 1 species
CGGGACUGAGCUGUUUCGAGAAGAGUGGGGACUGCUAUAUCGGGGCUUUCGGGCUCUGGUAUGAUGGAAACCAUUUUAAUCGCAAUGGCUUGAACCGGGCAAAAGUCGUAACAAGGUAUCUGUAGGUGAACCUGCAGAUGGAUCAUCGU